rnacentral:rRNA from 1 species
UACGUAGGGGGCUAGCGUUGUCCGGAUUUAUUGGGCGUAAAGAGCGUGUAGGCGGCCAUGUAGGUCCGGUGUGAAAACUCGAGGCUUAACCUCGAGAUGUCAUCGGAAACCAUUUGGCUAGAGUCCGGAAGAGGAGAGUGGAAUUCCUGGUGUAGCGGUGAAAUGCGCAGAUAUCGAGAGGAACACCUGCGGCGAAGGCGGGUUGCUGGGCUGACACUGACGCUGAGGCGCGAAAGCUAGGGUAGCAAAUGGG